UACGAAGGGUGCAAACGUUGCUCGGAAUUAUUGGGCGUAAAGCGCACGUAGGCGGCUUAGCAAGUCGGAAGUGAAAGCCCUCGGCUCAACCAAGGAAGUGCUUUCGAAACUGCUGAGCUUGAGUACUUAAGAGGAUCGCGGAAUUCCCGGUGUAGAGGUGAAAUGCGCAGAUAUCAGGAGGAAUACCGGUGGCGAAGGCGGCAUCCUGGACCGACAUUGACGCUGAACGGCGAAAGCUAGGGGAGCAAACGGG
rnacentral:rRNA from 1 species